rnacentral:rRNA from 1 species
UACGGAGGAUGCGAGCGUUAUCCGGAUUUAUUGGGUUUAAAGGGUGCGCAGGCGGAAUGUCAAGUCAGCGGUAAAAUUUCGGGGCUCAACCCCGUCGUGCCGUUGAAACUGGCGUUCUUGAGUGAGCGAGAAGUAUGCGGAAUGCGUGGUGUAGCGGUGAAAUGCAUAGAUAUCACGCAGAACCCCGAUUGCGAAGGCAGCUUACCAGACUGUUACUGACGCUGAAGCACGAGAGCGUGGGUAGCGAACAGG